GACGAACGCUGGCGGCGUGCUUAACACAUGCAAGUCGAACGAUGAAGCUGGAGCUUGCUCUAGCGGAUUAGUGGCGAACGGGUGAGUAACACGUGAGCAAUCUGCCCUUGACUCUGGAAUAACUGCGGGAAACUGUAGCUACUACCGGAUACGUGACUUAGACGCAUCUCUGCGUCUGGAAAGAAUUUCGGUCAAGGAUGAGCUCGCGGCCUAUCAGCUAGUUGGUGAGGUAAUGGCUCACCAAGGCGACGACGGGUAGCCGGCCUGAGAGGGUGACCGGCCACACUGGGACUGAGACACGGCCCAGACUCCUACGGGAGGCAGCAGUGGGGAAUAUUGCACAAUGGGCGAAAGCCCGAUGCAGCAACGCCGCGUGAGGGAUGAAGGCCUUCGGGUUGUAAACCUCUUUUAGCAGGGAAGAAGCGAAAGUGACGGUACCUGCAGAAAAAGCACCGGCUAACUACGUGCCAGCCGCCGCCGUAA
rnacentral:rRNA from 1 species